CUUCAUUACCUGAGUUGGGAAGAUCCCCUGCAGAAGGAAAUGGCAACCCACUCCAGUAAUCUUGCCUGGAAAAUCCCAUGGACAGAGGAGCCUGGCAGGCUACAGUCCAUGAAGUAGAUUACUGUGAGUGUUCUGAGCAUGUUAAAGGUUUCUCAGGAGGGAGGUAAUGUGGCCUGGUAUUCCCAUCUCAGUAAGAAUAGGAAGAGGAAGGUAACAGACAAUAAAUCAUUAAACAAAUGGCAAAUGGCACAAGUUAUACCAUUUCCUGAGAGAACUGAGAACUGUGAUGUGUUCUGCAGUUUAGAUGAAGAUCUGGUCUGAUAAGGGCCAAAGUAAGAAGUGGAAACUUUCUUUGAAUAUAGUGGUUGGUGGUCAGGAAAGUCUCUGCGGAUGUAACCUUUACUUGUGUCCAAAAUGAUGAGAAAGAACCAGCUAUGCAAAGAGCUGCGAAAGUGUCUUUGCAGAAGGAGGAACUGAAGGUGCAAAGUCCUAAAGUGGAAAACAAUUUGAUCAGUUUCAGAACAGAAGAGAAGCCUGCAUGAGAAAGAAAUCAAGUACUAUAAGAUGAAAUUACAAAACAAACAAGAGUGAAGGUCUUUUGGGCCUGAUGGGCCAUGGUAAGGAGCUUGAACUUCAUUUUAAGUCAAUGUACUGAUACAUAAUAAAAUGUCCUUGAUUGAAGAGACUGAAAUAAAAAGGAUCAAAAGAGA
ensembl:lncRNA